rnacentral:tRNA from 1 species
GUUAAUGUAGCUUAUUUCACAAAAGCGCGGCACUGAAGUUGCCGAGAUGAGAAACAAAAAUUCUCCAGCAACA